rnacentral:RNase_P_RNA from 1 species
CAAGUAGUUGGUCUUGUCGCUCCGGCAACGGGGAGGAAAGUCCGGGCAACACAGAGCGCCAGGCUUUGGAAAGCAAAGGUUGGGGUAACCUAACAGACAGUGCCACAGAAAAUUACCGCCUUUCGAGGUAAGGGUGAAAACGUGAGGUAAGAGCUCACGACCGUUGUUGGCGACAGCAGCGGGGGGUAAACCUCCUGGGUUGAAAGACCAUGUAUACCGGUGAAGCGCUGCUCGCGUGUUUCCGGGGGGUAGGUCGCUUAGAUAAAUGACAAGAGCCUUUGGCUUGCCAAGGGUACAGGACCCGGCUUAAAAGACUGCUUCAAUU